CGGAAGACAGAGAAGAAGAACAGACCGUGAUAUAAACAACAACAAAUAGCUUGUGCGUUCCAUUUUCCCUCUCGUCCAUCUAAAACAUGUUUCGUGCGGCACUGGAGCUAUCAGCCAUUGCAGUGUUACUUGUGGAAGACAUUCUCAAGCAACAGUCUCUCAAGAAGCGGAAGCGAAGAAUUAGGAGAAACCGCACUAAAUGGGUGAAGUCAUGGAUACUACAGCGAGAAGCUCACGGUGCUUCCCCGAACCUGUGUCGAGAGCUGGAAUUCAAUGAAGUGCCAGAUUUCAGAAAUUUCGCUCGGCUUUUUCCUGUGCAGUUCCACAUGUUGGAGGAACUCAUCACUCCAAUCAUCCAGAGGGAAAACACCAACUACCGGGAUUGCAUCUCCGUGGGGACACGUCUGAUGGUUACGCUGCGAUUUUUGGCAACAGAUUUGUCUGUUAUGUGCUGUGGCCUGGUAAUGCUUCCAAGGGGACAACUUCCUCUGCCAGUCUACUGCUUGAUGAGCUAACCAAUUCAGCGCUGGAACAUUUAGCCUGCAGCUCUAAUGACACGUUCAUGGAGGAUGAAAGCCCUUCCAGAAGACUGAUGACGAUGCCAAAAGGUUGGUUAAAUCUGCACUAACCAAGAAAUCAGGUGGCGAUGGUAUUAUCAACCAAUACAACCGGACGAAAGGUCUGACUGACUCCACACGGUGACAGAUGUUUAGCAUCCUCGCUCCUGCUGACUGAAACUCAUUAGGUGUAUUUUAUUUUUGGCACUUGAUUUGACUUAAAAUAAUAAUGCUCUGAUGUGCGAGUCCCCCGUUUUUGAAGAAACUUUGUUUGAAAUGUAACAUUGAGUCAGUGUUUUUCUGUUUAAAUAAAUUGAUAUCAAGACAUGGA